UUCGCGGCCUAUCAGCUUGUUGGUGAGGUAACGGCUCACCAAGGCGACGACGGGUAGCCGGCCUGAGAGGGUGACCGGCCACACUGGGACUGAGACACGGCCCAGACUCCUACGGGAGGCAGCAGUGGGGAAUAUUGCACAAUGGGCGCAAGCCUGAUGCAGCAACGCCGCGUGAGGGACGACGGCCUUCGGGUUGUAAACCUCUUUUAGUAGGGAAGAAGCGAAAGUGACGGUACCUGCAGAAAAAGCACCGGCUAACUACGUGCCAGCAGCCGCGGUAAUACGUAGGGCGCAAGCGUUAUCCGGAAUUAUUGGGCGUAAAGAGCUCGUAGGCGGUCUGUCGCGUCUGCUGUGAAAUCCCGAGGCUCAACCUCGGGCUUGCAGUGGGUACGGGCAGACUAGAGUGCGGUAGGGGAGAUUGGAAUUCCUGGUGUAGCGGUGGAAUGCGCAGAUAUCAGGAGGAACACCGAUGGCGAAGGCAGAUCUCUGGGCCGUUACUGACGCUGAGGAGCGAAAGGGUGGGGAGCAAACAGGCUUAGAUACCCUGGUAGUCCACCCCGUAAACGUUGGGAACUAGUUGUGGGGUCCUUUCCACGGAUUCCGUGACGUAGCUAACGCAUUAAGUUCCCCGC
rnacentral:rRNA from 1 species